UACGGGGGGGGCAAGCGUUGUUCGGAAUUACUGGGCGUAAAGGGCGCGUAGGCGGCCUGCUAAGUCGGACGUGAAAUCCCUCGGCUCAACCGGGGAACUGCGUCCGAUGCUGGCGAGGCUUGAAUCCGGGAGAGGGAUGUGGAAUUCCAGGUGUAGCGGUGAAAUGCGUAGAUAUCCGGAGGAACACCGGUGGCGAAGGCGGCUACCUGGACCGGUACUGACGCUGAGGCGCGAAAGCUAGGGUAGCAAACAGG
rnacentral:rRNA from 1 species